CAACCCUCGAGCCCCCCCGGGGGCCCGGCGUUGGGGAUCGGCUGACCCAGGUCUGCCGGCCCCGAAAUGCAGUGGCGGUCUCGCCGCAGCCUCUCCUGCGCAGUAGUUUGCACACUCGCACCGGGAGCGCGGCGCGUCCACGUCCGUAAAACACCCCCAACUUCUGAAAGG
rnacentral:misc_RNA from 1 species